GAUGAACGCUGGCGGCGUGCCUAAUACAUGCAAGUCGAGCGAACAGACGAGGAUCUUGCUCCUCUGACGUUAGCGGCGGACGGGUGAGUAACACGUGGAUAACCUACCUAUAAGACUGGGAUAACUUCGGGAAACCGGAGCUAAUACCGGAUAAUAUAUUGAACCGCAUGGUCCAAUAGUGAAAGACGGUUUUGCUGUCACUUAUAGAUGGUUCCGCGCCGCAUUAGCUAGUUGGUAAGGUAACGGCUUACCAAGGCAACGAUGCGUAGCCGACCUGAGAGGGUGAUCGGCCACACUGGAACUGAGACACGGUCCAGACGCCUACGGGAGGCAGCAGUAGGGAAUGUUACGCAAUGGGCGAAAGCCUGACGGAGCAACGCCGCGUGAGUGAUGAAGGUCUUCGGAUCGUAAAACUCUGUUAUUAGGGAAGAACAAAUGUGUAAGUAAAUAUGCAGGUCUUGACGGUACCUAAUCAGAAAGCCACGGCUAACUACGUG
rnacentral:rRNA from 1 species